rnacentral:rRNA from 1 species
AUUAAACGCUGGCGGCAUGCCUUACACAUGCAAGUCGAACGGUAGCGCGGGGCAACCUGGCGACGAGUGGCGAACGGGUGAGUAAAGCAUCGGAACGUGCCCUGGAAUGGGGGAUAACGUAGCGAAAGUUACGCUAAUACCGCAUAUUCUGUGAGCAGGAAAGCAGGGGAUCGCAAGACCUUGCGUUCUGGGAGCGGCCGAUGUCGGAUUAGCUAGUUGGUGGGGUAAAAGCCUACCAAGGCGACGAUCCGUAGCGGGUCUGAGAGGAUGAUCCGCCACACUGGGACUGAGACACGGCCCAGACUCCUACGGGAGGCAGCAGUGGGGAAUUUUGGACAAUGGGCGGAAGCCUGAUCCAGCCAUGCCGCGUGAGUGAAGAAGGCCUUCGGGUUG